CGAGGCGCUGUCUACGAGUCGGGUUGUUUG
rnacentral:ncRNA from 2 species